rnacentral:rRNA from 1 species
GCCCCAGACUCCUACGGGAGGCAGCAGUGAGGAAUAUUGGUCAAUGGGCUUACGCCUGAACCAGCCAAGUCGCGUGAGGGAAGACUGCCCUAUGGGUUGUAAACCUCUUUUGUCAGGGAGCAACGCCGGCUACGUGUAGCCGGACUGAGAGUACCUGAAGAAAAAGCAUCGGCUAACUCCGUGCCAGCAGCCGCGGUAAUACGGAGGAUGCGAGCGUUAUCCGGAUUUACUGGGUGUAAAGGGAGCGUAGACGGCGCUGCAAGUCCGGAGUGAAAGCCCAUGGCUUAACCAUGGUACUGCUCUGGAAACUGUGGAGCUUGAGUGCGGGAGGGGCAGGCGGAAUUCCUAGUGUAGCGGUGAAAUGCGUAGAUAUUAGGAGGAACACCGGCGGCGAAGGCGGCCUGCUGGACCGUAACUGACGUUGAGGCUCGAAAGCGUGGGGAGCAAACAGGAUUAGAUACCCGCGUA